AGAGGAUUCUACCUGAAAAUACUCAAACACAGUCUGACCAAAAGGGCUGGAUGUCAAAACUGGAUGAAUAUGGGGAGUGGAGGAGACACUGGUUUGUGAUGAGGGAUGCUGCACUGAGUUUCUACAUGGACUCUGAGGCUGAGGAGUCAGAUGACCUGGAUGGAGAGAUAGACCUGACGUCCUGUAUGAACGUCCAAGACUUUGACGUGGAGAAGAACUAUGGAUUCCAGAUACA